rnacentral:rRNA from 1 species
UACGGGGGGGGCAAGCGUUGUUCGGAAUUACUGGGCGUAAAGGGUUUGUAGGUGGCCCGCUAAGUCACACGUGAAAUCCCUCAGCUUAACUGGGGAACUGCGUGUGAGACUGGCAGGCUCGAGGGCAGGAGAGGAACGCGGAAUUCCAGGUGUAGCGGUGAAAUGCGUAGAUAUCUGGAGGAACACCGGUGGCGAAGGCGGCAUCCUGGACCGACAUUGACGCUGAGGCGCGAAAGCCAGGGGAGCAAACGGG